rnacentral:lncRNA from 1 species
CCAAGUUCACACAAAUUAAGUGCACAUUAAUUGUGGAAAUAAACAAAGCAAUAUAAUCCAUUCAAAUAUCCCAUUGAACUAAUAAUUCAAAAUCAUGAAAUAACAAGUUCAAUAAUAAUUACAUGGUUCAUCGAUCACCUAGUUGCAGAAAUCUAGCCUAUCAUGAUAAAAAUAACAAAAUCUAACAAAGUAUGAAUAAAAUACAU